AUACCUUUCUCGGCCUUUUUGCUAAGAUCAAGUGUAGUAUAUGAUAAUAUCUGAUAUGUGGGCCAUUGUCUCACACGAUAUAAACUCAAUUUUUUGAGGGGGAAAGUCCAUCACAGUAGAUUGCUACUUGGGCCUUCACAUGUCGCCUAGGUGUUGCACUACAGCCUAGGCCUGGCGCACCCCAC
rnacentral:snRNA from 1 species